UACGUAGGGCGCAAGCGUUAUCCGGAAUUAUUGGGCGUAAAGAGCUUGUAGGCGGUUCGUCGCGUCUGGUGUGAAAGCCCAUCGCUUAACGGUGGGUUUGCGCCGGGUACGGGCGGGCUAGAGUGCAGUAGGGGAGACUGGAAUUCCCGGUGUAACGGUGGAAUGUGUAGAUAUCGGGAAGAACACCAAUGGCGAAGGCAGGUCUCUGGGCUGUUACUGACGCUGAGAAGCGAAAGCGUGGGGAGCGAACAGG
rnacentral:rRNA from 1 species